UGUAGACUGUGUCUAGUGAUGAGAAUCAAGGAAUUUAUUUUAUGUGUUAAUAUAAACCAAGCCCGUUUAGCCGUUUAGCUGCCUUAAAACGGUGGUUUAAUAAGCUCAAAAUACAAAGCAUGCAAGUCUAUACUAUAGAUUCAUCAUCAGUCAACAACCAAACUGAAAGUAUUGAACCUUAUAGAACAAUAGUUUUUAUUUGUUUACAACUAUACAUAUUCAACGGGUAUAUAAGAGUUUAACAGUUAUUUGAUAAUUACUGCAUCAACCGGCCCCUUGUUUAUACUUUGGAGGUUCGUAUAUAAUAUCUAUCAAGUAUCUUUGGUUCAGAACAUGACUGAUAGGCCUAUAUGCAAAUCCCACUGUUCGAUUCAGUGAAGAAAUAUCUCCUAAUUUCUAUCGAUAGUUUUAGUAAAAUGUCAACAUUAUUGCGAUUUAUGGCCUUUGAAAGUCAAGCGAGAUAGUAUAUUAUCAAAUUAAUACGCAUGUAAUUGUCUGAACGAAAAUAUAGACUAGCCCAUACC